CUCUACUAAGUGUUUAUUGUCUUAAAAAUUGUAAAAGCUUAAUAUUUUAUGUAAGCAUAACUAUCAAAUUCCUCAAAUUGUAAUUAGGCUUUCAAUCAGAUAAAAUGAAAAUUUUCCGUAUUUUACUAUCACUUUCUUUUGUAUAUGUUUUGGCCGAUAUAACGGCUUAUAAUAGUUUGCUCGCCAUUACAAACACACACAUCCUGCAAGCUUCUAUUUAUACUGAUCCUGUAAAAGGAAAUGGAUUGGAACACGUAAU